rnacentral:rRNA from 1 species
UGGGGGAUAUUGCACAAUGGGCGAAAGCCUGAUGCAGCGACGCCGCGUGGGGGAUGAAGGCUUUCGGGUUGUAAACCUCUUUCGCUAUCGAACAAGGCCCGCUUAGGGUGGGUUGAGGGUAGGUGGAGAAGAAGCACCGGCUAACUACGUGCCAGCAGCCGCGGUAAUACGUAGGGCGCGAGCGUUGUCCGGAAUUAUUGGGCGUAAAGGGCUUGUAGGCGGCUUGUUGCGCCUGCUGUGAAAACGCGGGGCUUAACUUCGCGCGUGCAGUGGGUACGGGCAGGCUUGAGUGUGGUAGGGGUGACUGGAAUUCCAGGUGUAGCGGUGGAAUGCGCAGAUAUCUGGAGGAACACCGAUGGCGAAGGCAGGUCACUGGGCCAUUACUGACGCUGAGGAGCGAAAGCAUGGGUAGCGAACAGG